GUUUAAAAUGCCUCACUCGGGUUUCCCAAUAUGAGGUGUAUUCAUCUGGAUUAAGAAUAGUCUGUUAUAUAAACCCGAAGAGAAUCAAAUGAAGUUGAUAAUAUUGUAGUGCUUAGGGACAUUUAAACGGUUUCGUGCUACCAAGAUAGUUAUGGGAAAUACUGGAGGAGGAAGCGGGGGCGGCGAUGAUGGAUCCAUUCAACCUGUACCUUCUAUUGAUGAGGGCGAUGGUGGAAAAAUAAGAACAGGGGACAGGGAUGCUAGUAUGAAGUCCCUACGUGUCAGUCCUUUAUUAAUGGCCGUGCUUCAGGAGGCUCGGAGACAGGCGAAUCUGCUGACUGUACGUGACGAUGAAAGGGUCCCCUUUCUACAGCCACGGUGUUGUUAUACGUAAAGAUAAAAACAAACACUCAAUGGGAUCGUCCAUAAUUUAUUUAAAGAUGCACUGUUACUCCCAAAUAAGAUGUACCAUGUUUAAAACAAUUGUUUUAAUUUACCAAGGAUUAAUAAAUGUCAAAAACAAUAGUUAUUUUGAAGGAUAUUGCGUUUAAUUUGAAAGUAAUGUGCAGAAAACACGGCAUUUCUCCUUAUGAGACGAAAGUAGAUCACAGUAAAUCUUUUAGCAUUCACCAAACAUUUAAUUUUUUGCGUUUUCUGCUAUUAAGUACACGGUUAUAAACUUGUAAUCAGUAAUUAAGAUUUUCCAUAAAUGCAUUAUUUAGUAAGCAGUUGAAGGUUAAUCACUCCAAAUGUAUGCUUUUUAUACAUGUGUAUAUAUUGAUUUUGAAUAAGAAUGUCAUUUAAAUAUAUAUAAGAAUAUAUCAUGUCAAAACUA